UGGGGAAUAUUGGACAAUGGGGGCAACCCUGAUCCAGCCAUGCCGCGUGGAUGAUGAAGGCCCUAGGGUUGUAAAGUCCUUUUAACGGGGAAGAUAAUGACGGUACCCGUAGAAUAAGCCCCGGCUAACUUCGUGC
rnacentral:rRNA from 1 species